rnacentral:rRNA from 1 species
UACGGGGGGAGCAAGCGUUGUUCGGAUUUACUGGGCGUAAAGGGCGCGUAGGCGGCGCAACAAGUCACUUGUGAAAUCUCCGGGCUUAACCCGGAGCGGUCAAGUGAUACUGUCGUGCUAGAGUGCGGAAGGGGCUACUGGAAUUCUCGGUGUAGCGGUGAAAUGCGUAGAUAUCGAGAGGAACACCUGCGGCGAAGGCGGGUAGCUGGGCCGACACUGACGCUGAUGCGCCGAAAGCCAGGGGAGCGAACGGG